UUGAAAUAUUGCAAGAAUUACCAAAAUGUUACAGAGAUAUGAAGUGAGCACAUGCUGUUGGAAAAAUAAUAUUGAUAUUCUUUUGUUGGUGCAAGGUUGCCAUAAACCUUGAAUUAGUUAAAAUAGUGUGGUAUUUGUGAAGUAUAAUAAAACAAAAAGCAAAAAAACAAGGCAUGCCUGUCCUAUCUAGGAAUUAAAAGGAGCAAAUUAUUGAUAUAUACAUUAACAAGAACAAAUGAUAAAAGCAUUAUAGUAAGUGAAGUAAGCCAUAUUCAGAAAUCUAAUGUUGGGAGACAAUUUACAACAGCAUUUCCACACAUUGUGACAGCUUUUACUGAAGAUUCUCUUCCUAAGGUUUUUUAUUAUUCAAAGUCCUCAGAAGGAAGAGAUAGUGGCUCCCUUCCUGCCAGAAAACAGAUCUGUUUACUGACCUGUAUAAGAAAGAUAUUUUCUCCCACUUGGGUCAAAGGUUGUGCAGUUUUACCAGUAGUCCAGUUAAAAGAUUGGAGGUAUGCUAAACUCUGGGUUUACAUAGACCCACUGGUGUGCAGCACCCUGCUGGGUCUGCCUUCACACCACCAGCAUGUUUGAUGGGACAAAGUGAAUGGAUGAGAACAUACACCUCAUAAUGCCGGCUGUGUUGUGUGUAAUAAACUUUCAAAUCCAACUGGGACACUCUCUUCUUAUUGGUUAAAUGUAUGAGCCCGUGGCAAGUCAAUCUAGCAGCUUCACCCACUGUGUUGAUAUUGCUUUGGAGCUGCUUGAUAAUUAUAUCAUGUAAGAUUGUAUUUAUGUGAAAUUCUAGAAAAGUAAAGACUGUAGUGACAGAAGCCAAUCAGAGUUUGCUAGCAGCUAGAUAUAGGGGUAAGGGUUUGAUUGCAAAAUGGGCAACGGGCAACUUUUGAAGUAAUGUACACAUUCUGUAUCUUGACUGCGGGGGUGGCUACAUAAGUAUUUAGAUUUGUCAAGUCUCAUUAAAUUAUGCAUUUAAAAUUAGUGAAUUUUAUUAUGUGUAGAUUUAUGUAAUUUAUGUAAUUAUGUAAUUCGUACAAUUUAAUGCAGUUAAUUAAAAUAUUUACAAAGAGUUUGAAAGAAAGAACAGAAAAGUGAGGGAAAAUAAAAAUAAUAGAGGAUAUAAUUUAGUAUGAAGGAUAGUCACUUUAAGGUCCCACUGAUUUCCUAGCAAAGUGAAAAAAACAGUUGGUCAUUGUAGACAUGCUGAAAAAAUUUUAAAGUACCAAUUUAGAUAAUCCUAAAAGUUCAAGGAAGUAAAACAAACUAAAACACAAUUUUUAAAAAUCAAAUUUCAACAAGUUUCCAACAAAUGAAGGAGCACUUAGCAUCAAACCUCUCAUCAAUGACUUCUCAGUUUUAAGGGAAAAUAGUUUUAUCCUAUGAUUCUAUGUCUCAUUAACUCUUAACGUAUCCUAUGCCACCCCAUACAUUUUGGCCUUACCUACAUUUCUUUUUUUCUGUGUUCUAGUCUCACUGGCCUUCUAUCAUAAUCUUGAACUCUCCCAGCACCUUCCUGGCACCAUGCUUUAUACAUACUAUUCCCAAUGCAGCGGAUGCUCUUGCUCUAUUUGCUAUUUAGUUAAUUUUUCAGAAUGCAGUUAAAUUUUCACCUUUUCAUGAAAUUGUGCCAGGAUAUAUCAAAUACCUCUAUUGUUUGUUCUCAUAGCAACAUGUACUUUUCUGUCAGAAAUUACUUCAGUUACAUUCUAAUUUUACAUUUUUUGUUGUGUAAGUGAGUCCCCUACUAGAAUUUAGCUUUUGUGAAUGAGUCAUCAAUUUCUUAUUUUCUCACCAUUUUCUCCCAAAUGCCUCGUGUAUCUUACACUAAGUAGGCAUCCAAUAUUUAUUUGUUCAGUGAAUGAACAAAAGAAACAAAAACAUGUAAGAUAAACUUCUUAGAGCAGUCUGAGUUAUUUUCCUGCCCCUAUCUGGAAAAGGGAAAUGUCAGGCCUCUGAGCCCAAGCUAAGCCAUCAUAUCCCCUGUAACCUGAAUGUAUACAUCCAGAUGGCCUGAAGUAACUGAAGAAUCACAAAAGAAGUGAAAAUGGCCUGUUCCUGCCUUAACCGAUGACAUUCCCUUGUGAAAUUCCUUCUCCUGGCUUAUCCUGCCUCAAAAGCUCCCCCACUGAACACCUUGUGUCCCCCGCCCCUGCCUGCCAGAGAACAACCCCCUUUGACUGUAAUUUUCCACUACCUACCCAAAUCCUAUAAAAAGGCCUCACCCCUAUCUCCCUUCCCUGACUCUCUUUUCAGACUCAGCCUGCCUGUACCCAGGUGAAAUAAACAGCCUUGUUGCUCACACAAAGCCUGUUUGGUGGUCUCUUCACACGGACACGCGUGAAAGGAAGAGAAAGGGAAGAACACACCUCUAUGUGCUUGAACACUAAAGCCCGGAGAAAGCUCUAUCUCACGUGGACAAAUACCAUGAGAAGAAAAAGGGAACAGAAGACAGGAGAGGAAUCUGGGAAAUACAACAAACCUCCUCCCUUUCUCAUCCUUCUGCUCCAAGCCAUUGGAGACAAAGGUUUCUGUACUGGAGAAAGAAGGAAGGCUUUGAAUCAAAUGUAAGAUUGAAAAUUGCUAAAGUUUAAACAAAGUGUUGACUGAAAUGAGAUUGUUUUAAUAAAAGUGGAAAGGUGAAAGAAAAGA